CAUUCCGUGAAGCAAACGAGGCCGAAGAGAAUAGUUACUAUUCAUUGGGAACUGAGGACGCAUAGAGCCAUAGAGGCAGCAAUAGAAUACAAUACAAUUAUACAGCAUUUGGGGUGGAGUUCCGAUCAGUACGUAGAAUUGGCUCUAGCAAAGUCAUCCAUCCAGUAGAUGCACUUUCUAUAAGACAACCAAUGUUGCCAUUACUCAUUUUAUUAGCCUCAUUUUUAUAGAGGUAAGAUCGUAAAGCAUUGAGUAGCACUCUGACGUAUUAUUCUCUACACUCUUGUUGUCUGUCUACAAUAAUCUAAGUUGAUGACUAAUCGGAGAAACUUAAACAACAAGCACCAGUGGUCUAGUGGUAGAAUAGUACCCUGCCACGCUACAGACCCGGGUUCGAUUCCCGGCUGGUGCAUCUCAGUUUCGUCGUCUCUCUCUCUCACGCUCACACACACUAUAUUUCUUUUCAAGGUAAUCAGAGACGAACCUGGACUCUACCCCUCCAUGACUGAGAACCCGGCGCUCCGUUGGGCCUUCAUCCGCAAAGGCUACACCAUCCUCACGGUCCAGCUACUCCUCACCGCCACCGUCGUGUUGGUCCGCCCAGUCACCCUCUUCUUUGUCGACACCUACGCCGGCCUCAGCCUUCUCAUCGCCGACUUCGUCUUGGCCCUCGCCGGUAACUCUUUCUCAGUAAAGAUGGCUACUUCUUUAAUCAGGGUUCGAUUGUUGUUUGACUUGAUUGCAGUGGUUGUUGCUUUGCGCUUUUGCGGAAAGAAGUACCCGGUGAAUUUCAUUUUGAUGGGGCUUUUCACUGUCUUGAUUGGAGUCACUGUUGAAAUGCAUUGUGUUUUUACUGAAGAGAAGGUGCUUUUGGAGGCUUUUGGUAUUACACUUGUGACUUUCUUCAGCUUGACACUACACAUUCUGGGCUGCAAGGAGAGGCUAUGAUUUCAGCUUCCUUGGUCCUUUUCUGUUUGCUGCUUUGACUGUUCUUAUUGGGUUUAGCCUGAUUCAGAGUUUCUAUCCUCUGGGAAAAACCAGUCACAUGAUAAUCACUCUUGUGGGAUGCCUCAUCUUCUGUGGCUACAUUGUCUACGACACGGAUAAGCUGAUCAAGCGCCAUGAGUAUGAUGAGUACAUGUUGGCUGCAGUCCAUCUAUACUUGGGACUUCUUUUUCUAUUUCUAGUUUUAAUC